UUUUGGGGGCCACGUGUGGCAUGAUCGACAUGUCAGGGUGAGAGCUGCCGCCACCCUACUGAAGCAGUCCUGUGCCAUGUUACGGAGUUGAAGAAGUAGUCGGUGAAACAACGGGGCUCAUAACCUGUUAAGACCAGCAAAGCGCCGGACCCCCGUUGGGUCCUAUUACUGUGGCUACCAUUCACUGGUAUAUGAGUGUCGGUCAUUUCCAACACUACCAGCAGCACAGCAACAGCAAUAAUAGCAGCCACACCCAGAAUAACGGACAACAGUCAUCAACAACACCAACAGUACAAUAUCCGUUGCGUUGUAUCUUCUCCUAUUUGGGCUCCCGACCUCGUUCCUUAACAUGAUGAUUCUGAAGG
rnacentral:lncRNA from 1 species